rnacentral:tRNA from 1 species
GGUCGAUUAGCUCAGUGGUAGAGCACUCGCUUCACACGCGAGGGGUCACUGGUUCGAACCCAGUAUCGACCACCA